rnacentral:sRNA from 1 species
AGUGAACUUCGUUUGAAGCGGUAUCCUUUUUCUGGCUUCUUUAGCCAGGAAAAGAUACAAGCGGAUAGCGGGAAUAGCU